rnacentral:rRNA from 1 species
GGAAUUUUCCGCAAUGGGCGAAAGCCUGACGGAGCAACGCCGCGUGAGGGAUGAAGGCCUCUGGGCUGUAAACCUCUUUUAUCAAGGAAGAAGAUCUGACGGUACUUGAUGAAUAAGCCACGGCUAAUUCCGUGCCAGCAGCCGCGGUAAUACGGGAGUGGCAAGCGUUAUCCGGAAUUAUUGGGCGUAAAGCGUCCGCAGGCGGUCUGUCAAGUCUGCUGUUAAAGCGUGGAGCUUAACUCCAUUUCGGCAGUGGAAACUGACAGACUAGAGUGUGGUAGGGGCGGAGGGAAUUCCCGGUGUAGCGGUGAAAUGCGUAGAUAUCGGGAAGAACACCAGUGGCGAAGGCGCUCUGCUGGGCCAUAACUGACGCUCAUGGACGAAAGCCAGGGGAGCGAAAGGGAUUAGAUACCCCAGUAGUC